GCCCCGGUAGCUCAGUUGGCCAGAGCGUUCGGCUUUUACUACAGUAUUAGCUGAUACCGAAAUGUCGUGGGUUCGAGCCCCACUCGGGGCG